GGACUACCAGGGUAUCUAAUCCUGUUUGCUACCCACGCUUUCGUGUCUCAGCGUCAGUCAUGGUCCAGUAAGCUGUCUACACCACAGGUGUUCCUCCUGAUAUCUACGCAUUUCACCGCUACACCAGGAAUUCCGCUUACCUCUCCCAUACUCUAGCAUUCCAGUCUCCGCCGCACCCUCCCAGUUGAGCCGGGAGAUUUCACAACAGACUUAGAACACCGCCUACACACUCUUUACGCCCAGUAAUUCCGAACAACGCUUGCUGCCUACGUAUUACCGCGGCGGCUGGCAC
rnacentral:rRNA from 1 species